UUCACAUGUGUUCUUCAAGUCUAGCAGUACUUUGUGUUCUCUUUCCCUUCGAAUAUAAAUUUCACUAAAUAUGAGCCGAUCCUUUUCUUUGCUUGGUUGUGCACGAGCAGACUAUUCUACUCUCAUCGAGACCACUGGCUUCGUUUCCUUGAUUUGCAGAUGUGGCUGGCAGCAUCUCCGCGUUCUCUGGUGUUGUGCUCACGGAAGGACCAUUGGUGAAGCAAGGAGGGAUGUGCUCCUUUUCGACACAAGGAAGGACCAUUCGUGAAGCAAGUAGGGAUGUUCUUAUUUUCGACACAAGGUGGACUACUGAUUCGUAUCCUAUGCUUCCUUUGUAGAUACAUUUGAUUACCAAAGGUUUGGGUGAUCUGGCCAUUUGGUCCUUCUGCAACUAAAUGGGCUAAAUGGUUCCAUUAAAGCUGUUUCCAAUGAAGUAGAAUGGAUUGACUAGCUUUUCUAUACUUGUGCCGAUAGCUCAUCUGGCAUGAUUGAGUAAGUUCUUUCACAAUUUUCCAAACAUGUGUCUGCCGUUAUUUUUUCUCUCAUAGUAGUCCUCCUUUCAUUUGGAAGUUGUAGAUAUAACUUUAAAUAGUGGAUUAACAUCCAUAUUAGAACAAGACUGUUUUAUGUGAAUCACUAUAAAUAAUAAUGUAGCACUCCAUCCUUUCACUAAUA